rnacentral:rRNA from 1 species
GAUGAACGCUGGCGGCGUGCUUAAUACAUGCAAGUCGAACGGAAAGGCCAUGAUCUUGUUGGGUGCUCGAGUGGCGAACGGGUGAGUAACACGUGAGUAACAUGCCCUUGACUUUGGGGUAACAUUAGGAAACUGGGGCUAAUACCGGAUAGGAGCUCCUGCUGCAUGGUGGGGGUUGGAAAGUUGCGGCGGUUGGGGAUGGACUCGCGGGUUACCCGCUUCUUUGUGAGGUUGGGGUUUACCAAGGCUUUGACGGGUAGCCGGCCUGAGCGGGUGACCAGCGUCAUGGGGACUGAGAUACGGCCCAGACUCCAACGGGACGCAGCAGGGGGGAAUCUUGCACAAUGGGCGGAAGCCUGAUGCAGCAACGCCGCGUGCGGGAUGACGGCCUUCGGGGUGUAAACCGCUGUCGCCGGUAACGAAGCGGGAGUGACGGUAAUGAGUAAAGAAGCACCGGCUAACUACGUG